AUUUAUCUAUUGAAAUAUGUAUUAUUUUAUUACAAAUCAUUUAAAAAAUGUAUUUACUUUUGAAAUCAAGAUGUUAUUUUUAAAACUUUAGCUUAGGUAGGUAGCAUUAUUUGUAAAUUCAUUUAACAUAAGUGAUUAAAUGGUUUUUAAACCCAUCAUAAAAGUUACUUUUCUUCAGCUAAGAGAUUAAAUGUAAGUUUCUCUAGGAGUUACUUGUUUAAAGUCAGUAACGUCUGGAAGAAGACUGCAUAGACAGCUGGGGAAACUGGUUUAUCCGAUUACUUUCCAGUGAUCAGAGGAGGAUGACACAGGCCUGGCUUCCUUUCCAUUGGAUUAACGCAUUUGUUCAUUUCCUCAGACCACUUUCUAUUACUAAUAUCACAAGAAAUAUGUUUAAAUUCAAUUAAGUUGCCCUGAAAGGAGUACACUCAUGAUUUCCACAUCACUACCAUGUACAGAUGAAAGUGGCCAGUCCCUUGAACUUUCUGCUUACAGUGUCUCAACAAUUGUUACUGUUAGCUUCCAGAGUGUUACUCCACACUCUGUUUGGACAUGCUACAAAUGGACACAUGGCAUCCCAGUUUUCAAAUCCCUUAACAUGUGGGUUUAGACCCCUGGCCUGUGGAGAAUUGAGUCAGGGAACCAGGUGUUAGCUUGAGUCUCAUCCUUUGAUAAUUUAGUAACUAAAUGAAGUUUCUCUGAUUUUUCUACUCAUCUAUAUAGAAGUAUUUAGUGAGAUUAAAUUUAGAGAGAACAGUAUUAUAAAUAUGAAAACAAAAUUAUGACAUUUAUAAUAGCUAGAUAAAGCAUGGACCUAUACUAGAUUAUUACAUUUUCAAAAAUCAACAGCUAUAGUUUUUGGGUAGCAAUUUACUUUAGAAAUUUUUCAUUAGUAGUGUGAAGUAUAUAAGUGAAGUUUAUCAUAUAUCCUAGCAGUCAUGUAGUUAGUGUUUGAAGUAUCCUAAUCAGGAAUCCACCUUCCAAAGAUGGUUGUUUAGUCAUUCCAAUUAUCCUUAUCAAAAUGUACACCAGACAGUUCAUUAAAUUGCAUAAAAGGUGUUAGGAAUGAUUUUCAAUCAUAAAAUAAGCAGCAGUCAAGAUAAGCCAGAAAGACUGGCCUCCGUCAUCUUUGAGGGAAGAAAGUGUUAAGAACCUGUUAAACUCAGCAGCGCUUAAGGCCUAGGGCCCCACUUGUCCUGUGCCUGCUUCACAGCCCUAACACUAUGGUGUCUUAUUUGGUGAUUGGAAUAUUGUGGUGUCUACCUAAAAUUGAAACUUUCACUCACAUUUCUUUCCAACUUUCAUUUCAUUAUCAUGGGUUCUGAGAAAAGAAAGGGACAGUUCCAUGGGAUUACAGGAAGCACAUGUGUACUUUCUGGCUAAUAAGUGCUGUGUUGAGAAGAAUUUGGGCUACGGUUCGCUUUCAUUGUAACAUACCUCCCGGUUGCGGGAUUCUGGGGAGGGAGACACAUGGCCUUCGCCCUCCCCUUAUAAUUGCUGAAGAUCACUGAUAUUUACUAAAAGACUGGACAUUUGAUGAAAGCUCACAUUGAUUUAAGUCAAUUUCUACUCCGUUUUUUAAAAAAGUUACUUUUUUUAAAAAAGUAAAUUAUGCAGAAAAUUUUAAAAUAGGAAAAAAACCAAACCAUAAUACUAGAAUUCUAAUACAGCCAUUCAUAACAUUUUGAGAGGUUUCAUUCUUUUUCAUGUGCAUAUUUGAAAUUUAUGUGUACAAUUUUACAUCCUGAUUAUUAAAGUUAAGCCAGGGGUCACCAACUCAAAUGUCUCCAAGGGUCGCGGGGUAGAGACUGUGAAUCAAGGGCGAUUCUGUGUUCCUUAGUCUAAAGGGAGCACUUACUGCUCAGCUCCAAAUGAUUGUUAUGUAAAAAGGGCUCAGUUUUGCGAGUUUAUUAUGAUUUUUUGACAAGAGUCAAACAUAAUUUUUAUGUAAAUUUUAAAAUAUUGGUUACUAAAAUAAUUUAAAAACAUUAUGUAAGCCAAAUAUAUAUACAUGAACUGAGAGGUCAUAAACAUUUUCUGUUACUAAGUAGCCCCUGAGAGCCACAUUUUUACAAAGCUGCAUAAUAUUAAACUGAGCAGACAUAACAAAUUUUACAAUCUUUCAUCUAUUUUUGGACAUUUAGAGGUUGUUUCCAAUUUUUCUCUGCAAUGAACAUCUUCAUGCAUAUUACUUUGUCCUGUGUGGAAUUGCAGAAUCAAAGGGUAUGAAUAUUUAAUUCUUUAUGUACAUCAGGAAAUAUUUUCCAAAAGGUUUGUACCAAUUUAUGCUCUUUCUAGCACUGAGGUAUAAAAAUAUAGUUUCACCGUAUCUUUGUCAUCAUUGGGAUAUGUACCAGGAAAAACAUUGGCCAAGAAAAAAGGUACCUCUUGUUGACUUAAUUUACAUGUCUGUUUAGUAGUUAGGGUGAACAUUAUUCCAUAUGCUUGUUUACCACUUUUAUUUCUUUUGUGGCUUGUCUGUUUGUUUCCUUUGUCCUUUGUCUACAGGGAGAACGCCUACUUUGAAAUUUUAACAGUGUCAAUCUAUGUAGCAGCCAGGUAGAAAUAAACAUCGACACCUGCUUCAUGUUUAAAACAUCUGUUUUAUGGGGCUUUUCUUUUCUCUACUAGUUGUCAGCUUUCAUCCGUGGUCUCUUCCUGUCUCACAUGGCAGCAUCCAUAAUAGAGGCAAAAUGAAUUGCAAGGCAGCGUUUAAAGCUUUGACACUGGUCGUGUCUCCUUAAUUCAUUUUGUGGGAUAUAAUUCUCAAGGACUUAGACUGCUAAAGUUUUACACCUAUAUUUUGUGAUUAAUUACUGUUAUUAGUUAUGAAUUAUUUUGAGUUUGUAAAUACAAAUUCUAAUACUGUAUUCUCUCCAAUACUGAUAUUAGGUGCAAGACUAACUCCUGGCUUUGAGAUUCCAGACUCAAAAUUCCAGACCUUAGAGAGAACUUCCAAGCCAUUUAUUCCAAAACGUUCAUUUUGUUCAAUGUGGAAAUUGAGUCAGGUUACUUCUCCAAAGUCAAACAGCUGGCAAGUAACUGCAACACGGCCUACUACCUGGGACCCCAACCUCUAGUUUAAUAUUCUUUCCAUCUCACCAUGCUACCUUCCACUGGUGUCGCAUGCGCUGCUACAUUUUGCGAUAUAAUUCGAUCCUGAUAUAUGUGGAUUCAGCUAAUGAAUGGCUGCAUUUCUGUGUAUUCACGUCAGAAAUCCAUUACAGAAAGUAAUUAUUUUGCUCCUUCAAGCCUGAUGAAAAAUUAUAAUAGAGCCAUGGAAAAACUUUAUAAAUAUUAGUUUUGUUACUCUUUUACUCCAAGAGAUAUGGUGGUAGCAGUGGAAGCCAAGAAAUGGAACUGGCUGGCUGAGAGUCUGUCACAGGAGUGAAUGACUAAGAAGACAGAAGUCUUUAAGGGUGAAGUAGACUCCAUGAAUUCCUCAGAAAGGAAAGUAAAGGGCGACUUUGACUGCCUUCCGGAUUCCUUGUGUGAAAGGAUAAUUCUUAAGUUGGAAUAUAAUCAUAAAUCUCAGACAUAAACUGAAUGGAUUUUAGAGAUGUUAUUUAAAUCAUUAGUCAGUGAGGGAACCAGUAAGACAUCACAAAAACCCAGUAAGAUGGUUCAAAGGAGAAUUCAAAGAACCAGCAACAAUGCUGAAAUCAAUUUACAGAUUGAUCCAAAACUGGACUCAGUCCACAAGAGAGGAGGGAAAUCAAUUGCAUUUUCAGGGAACAAAAUUCAUUUGCAUGUCGAUGGAUAAGAAUCACUUGCAUAACUGUCAGUUACCUAGGAUUUACAGAAUUGUAAAGGAGCUCAAAGUCAAUGAAAGGCAGAGAGGCCUCACACAGCCAAGUCACCUGGAAGACUACUCAGAUGAUCCCCACUGCCUGGUUUUUCACUGAAGACAACUUGAUCCAACUGGACUGCAGCUGGAGCAUGUUACUGCUCACAUUCUGAGACCCAGAACCUAUAGGACAGACCACUAUUUCAUGGAGCAGUCAGAUUGUCCCACCAAACAUCUCCCAGAUUCCUUGUCCUGGAAGAAGCCAGCCACCAGCCUGGGAGGACACUCAAAUAGCUCUUCGGAAAGAUCCUCAAGAGGAGGAGGUGACCAAAGGCCAACAUCAACUUGCCAGCCAUGCAGGUGUGGUUGGCGGCAGCUUCGCAAAUGUAAGCUCGUUAGUUGCAGGCAUCGCGGUCCAGUGGCAAGAGCACCAGCCCCGGCAUGUGGCAUCUCCCUGGGAGCGAACUUCUACCUCCGAGUCAACCACCAGGAGCCCAUUUCUUUAUUGAUAAGUAGGACACUACUGGCGAUACUUGCCUUGGUGGGUUUGUGCGAGGAUUAAUGAGCUGGGUGUGAAUUCAGAAACCACGGAGGACCACCCUCCCAAGGUAAGAUGUUGUUCUGCUUCCUCCUGCGCGGAGGAAGUUUUCCUUCAGUCGCCCCUCUUCUCAUCCCCACUGUCUCUGCCUUGGCAAAGACCACCUUCCUGUCUGCCCUGGACGCUUGAACAGCGUCUUCAACUCCAGCCUUGUCUUCCUGAAGUCUCUCCUCCAUCAUGCUGCCCACGCACUCUUUCCCAGAUGCAAAUCUCACGAGGCUGCCACCCUUCUUAAACUGAUGGAUUUCUCUGUAUGUCUUAUAGAAAAGUCCGGGGUCCAUGAAAUGGCUUUUGGGGCUGCCCCCGGCCGCCCCAUCCUCCAUUCUGCUACCACUGCUCUGGCCACACUGACCCACCUUCCAUCCUCCAAACCUCCCCUGGGUCUUUGCUGCUUUCUCUUCCUGGAAUCCCCUUUUUCCUAGCCAGCCGGAUGAGUUACUGCUACUUACCUUUCUUGCUCUAGCUUAAACCUCACCAACUUUUCCCUGACUCCCAGCCCCCCGCUUUCCUCACCUCACAUAUCUCUUCUGCUUCCUGGUUGUUUGGGCUCUAUCCCAGUUAUAGCCCAUGUCAUACUGCUUUGUAAUAACCUGCAAAACCCAAGCGUUCCAAGCAUUACAGGCUUUGGUAGUCUGAGGAAAAAUGCAACAACCCUCAGCACAGUGCCCUCUCCAACGGCUUUUCUCUCUCCUGUGUUCACACAGGGGCCUCCUUGCAAAGCUUCCCUUUUCAAAGAAUUUCUGGAAGUUCCAAGGGGGAUCACAGGUGGGUCCAGAAGUCCUUGCUCUGUUUUGCUAUCGUGGCCAGCGAGGUGGCUGGUGACUGACUGAUUCCCUCUCUCUCUGAAGCUUCGGUCUGAACCAUUGUGGAGGUUGGCUGCCAUCGUGCUCAUCGAGGAGGGAUGUGAGAGGCUCUAGGUGGGCUGUGCUGUUUCCCCUGCACCCUCUAGCCAGGUGCAAAUCCCUGCCUGCUCUGCCCUGGUGCCUUUUUGAGUCAGAAGAAUGUUCCCUCCCUUUAUGGAGUGUCCACUGGGGGCUGGGAGCCUCCGAGAGUUACAGAGGCAGUGAUGGCCACGCUGUCAGUUCACACUAUCCUCUGCUCGGUCUUCCCAGACUCUUAGCGUCGUGGAUCUGGGUUGAGGUAGAGUCUGGUGAAAAGCUAUAUUGAUGGUCCCCACAAGAGGGGUGAUAUGCAAAGGUUAAUAUGAAUAUAGAAAUCGUGGCUCGUCUGAAACAUAUGUUACCCUAAGUGGGGGAAAGUGUGGAACUUGUUGAUCAUCACUCUUAUGUUUAUGAUUUUUUUAAAUCCCAGAAACUAUGAGAGCAGGCAUGCUAGAAUUUCCAGAAGUCACAGCCCAGACUAGAGUUAAGACGCUUUAGUCUCUCCAGUCAAUCUUUUUCCCCCUUCUAUCCUCACCAGGGGAGGAACUCGUUUGACAGCUCUGAGGUCUCUGGGGACAUUAUUCGGCCCGAUAGAAAAGAAUUCCUUAGAUGAAAAAAAAAAAAAAAGAAGAUGGAUCUUUCAGAUGAAGAAUUAGCGAUGUGUCUGAAACUUUCUGGCAUGGAUGGGGAAGAAGUCCCAAUAUGUUUUUGUGGUUACACAGCCAAAAAUUAUGUUAACCACAUGAAUGAUGUGACUUGACUGGGAAAAGGCAACCUGAGAGUAUUUUAAGAUUCCUUGGCUAUGUAAUUAUAUAUCCAGAAGGUACCAUAUCCAGCAGAGUGAUAGAUUAAAAAUUAUAAUCAGUGUUCUUAAGCAUAUAAUUAGCAUAUUGAACAUUGAUGUUUCAGACCCUAAUUAAGUACGUAGCCUGCUAACAGAGGGAGUUCUGAUUUUUAUAGUUACAUAGGGGCCUUACUCCCCAGUGAAGGAAAAUUUUAACCAUACGACAUUUCUCUUCCACAUGUCUUAGAGCAAGAAAUCAAGAUUAUCCCUUGUUGCUCUUAGAUCUGUGUAGUGGAGUGAAUUUAGGGAGAGUAGCAGGGAAUUUGGUUGCUCUAUCAAAAAGAUAAACCAAGUAUGUGCGUCAUCACAAUUUUCUUCCUGUAUCUGAAAUAAUUUCAUAUAUGACUCUCUGGAGCAUGAUGGAUAACCUCUAAAAUACUUACACUCUUUCUUAUAGCACUGAAACCAGAAAUCUUUUUUUUAUGCCAUGAUCUAUUUAGAAGUAAUUUUGCCUUAUAGCCAAGGGUAAUCUCAUCAGUCAGCAAUGCUUCUAUUUAUAAGUCUGUCUCUCAGAGCCUGUCUGCAUCUUGAAGAAAUCCCCAAUGCAGGAGGCAGGAUAUAAAAUGCAAUACCAUCAUCUAAUAUCCCCAAAGGGAGUUGUUUAGUGUUUCCUUAUCCGGUUACCCAUGGCUACAAGGAAAGAUUUUUCAAAAUUCAAUACAAAUUGUGUUGGCUUGUUUUUCUUCUUGAGACCCUUAAGUCUUCUUUGAUCACAGAUUUUAGAGGAAAGGAAAAAAAUUCCUUUAGAUCUCUCAGUGUCAAGGGGCACCCAAAUAAUUACUCCGUUUCCCUUGCAAGGAACUGUUAAUUGUGUGGAAGGACAAGGAUAUCUCAGAGUAAGCAUUCUGGGACCUCGAUAAAAGCUAUUCGGUCUGCUCAGUGGCAGAAAGGUCUUGGGCGCUAGCCAAGGGGAAUUAAUUAUUGAAGGGCUUCAUUAGGAGCUAGUUUUCUCUAAAACACAAUUCCCUUUGUCAUAUCACUGAUCAAGCAUCAAUUAAUCAACAGGUAUUUAAUUAUUGAGAAACUAUUACGUUUUGUGUACUUUGUCUUUUCUGUAAAACAGCGUUAGUCAAAAGCUUGGGCUUCACUGGCUUCAUAAACUGUAGUCACUCCGUAAGGAGCCAGAGACUCCAGCAUGUGAAGGUGGAAAUGUGUACCUUCAGGUGUGGCAAAUGGUCCCCUCAUGGCUCAUCAGGCUGUGGAAUUCCCCACAUCUCACUGAGAACGUUAAAAUGCAAUUAAUCUAAGAGACCAUGUGCUCCAAUUCAUUGUGGUUUCCCAGAAAUAAUUUUAUAAGAGAAGGAGUUAGUCCCCAUGCGGUUUAGAAAGAGAAGGCCGAGAAAGUGAGGCGCUUGUCCUGCUGGGAGAGGAAACUCACUGUCUCCAGCAGACCUAGAAAGGUAAGCUGCUUCCUGAAGCAGACACGGUCAACCCCGCUACUGCCAUCCGAGGGAAAUUUGUCAUGGAACCAUCCAGUGCCCUUGGCUGUCAUUCUGUGCUCAUUACACAACCUUGUGCAUGCAUAAUUUAUGUUAUCAGGGGCAGGAGGACCAUGGUGUGUCAGAGUCUGCCAAUAUUAGGGGUCCUUCUCUUGCCUGUCCUAGAGCAGAGUUUGGUUCUUUAAAUUACAGCUAGGUGAAAAUUUGAGGACAUGAGACAGAAAUCAAUGGAAGGGAUGCAUUCACUUUUUAAAUCCCUUUCAAAUGCAAUGCCCAAACUAUGAUACCCACAGUGCUUUCAACCCUUCAACCACAGAUUAUCCCAGUAUCCUAAGUGUCGGAAGCCCCUAACUAGUGUGGCUUUGCUUCUGUUUUCAUGUAAAAAGCACAGAGCGGAUGCCCAGAGCCAACAGCCAAACCUUGUGAGCUCUGGAAAAUGGACGAGGGGUCCUGACUCUUUUUCAGACCUUUCUUCACAGAAGUGACUGCUGCCUGCCCAUUUCCUACUCCGGUAGGCCCCACCCCUUGCAAGGCUACAAUCCUCACCCAGACAGAGUUCAUUUGAAUUUGAACCAAACGGUCCGCCCUCUCCCAAAUAUUUUACGGAUCAGGAUAUUUAAACAAGGACAAUUCAGGCAGGAAUUUGUAUGUUAUUCAUCUUCCUUCUGGCCAAACGUAGAUAUCUUAUAGGUAAGGACAGUGUCAGUGUAGAUCUACUUGGCUUAAGAAUGAUAGUUACAAUACUGAUAUUACUAGAUCCCAGAAGAAGGAGCAAUCUUUAUUGGCUGGUGUGAAGGAAGACUCUUUAUAGGCCUUUAUUUGUAGGAUCCUCCAAAUAUUUAGAGAAAACACAAAGAAUCUUAGCCACUAGGAGAAUGCCUUCCUCUUUGAUGUUGAAUUUAUUGUCAAUAGUGUUGAUAAGAAAAUCUCUUGUGGGUUAGUUAGUGGGACUCAGUCUUCUAGGAUCUGUUCCAUCAUGGGUGAUCUGGUGACCUGAUCAAAACCCAGAUCUUCAGGGGCCGGCCCGGUGGCGCAGCAGUUAAGUUCGCAUGUUCCGCUUCUCAGCGGCCUGGGGUUUGCCGGUUCGGAUCCCGGGUGUGGACAUGGCACCGCUUGGCACGCCACGCUGUGGUAGGCGUAUCACAUAUAAAAUAGAGGA
rnacentral:lncRNA from 1 species